AUGAUGUCUGCAGCUGCAGAGCAGGUGGCUGGUGGUUUCUCAUCAGCAGUUAUCCAGCGUGCUGUUGACAAGGCGAUUGACUUCCUCGAGAGCAACUAUAAUCUGAGCCAUGCUACUGAAGAGCUUUUGACCAAGCUCCACACAAGCCUCACCAUGGUGAAGGCCAUAACCGAGGUCGCUGAUAACCAGCUUAUCACCAGCACUAGUCUUACCAAGUGGCUAGGGAACCUCCAUGAUGCUGCCUAUGAAGCUGAGGAUGUGCUUGACAGAUUUGAUUGUCAAGACAUAGUCCUUGGAAAGCGCAAGAUGAGCGAGUUCGUUUCAUCGUCGAUUAGGGCCCUUAAAAGUUUGGUUGUACCUGAUGAGGGCAUGAAAAGGCUUGAAUAUGUUGUGCAGAAGCUAGAUCACCUCUGUGCAACCUCCAACACAUUCCUGGAGCUCUUAAAGCAGAGUAGUUCAGCAUCCAUCAAGGAGGAGGGAGUUGGGGGUGAGACUACUUCUCGUGUUCCAAUUGAUGUCAAGGUGUUUGGCCGCGAUGAAGUUAUAGAGUUGAUACUGAAAACUAUUUUGGGUUCAUCUGGCUCUGAACCAGAAUCCAGCAGCAGAGCAAAACUUGGGUCAAGGUACACCAUCGGUGGUGUUGAUGUAAUCCCAAUUGUUGGUAUGAGCGGGGUUGGGAAGACAACCCUUGCUCAAGUUAUUUACAAUCAUGAAAAUGUUAAGGGUCACUUUGGACACAGAGCAUGGGUGUAUGUUUCAAAACAUUUCAGUGUGAAAAGGACGUUGCAGGAGAUGUUGUGCUCUUUUAAAGGAAAUGAUUCAUCUUUUGACUGUGCUGAUAGUCUGGAAACAGUUGUCAACAAUAUUCAAAAUGGCAUCCGGCAGGAAGGAAGAUUCCUUCUUGUGCUUGACAGUGUUUGGGAUGAGAUGUGUGCUCACUGGAAUAUUUUGCUUACUGCCAUAGCUCGUGAAGUGCCGGGAAGUGUAGUUCUUGUGACAACACAAAGCAAAAGGGUUGCAGACGCAGUAGCAACAAUGUGUCAAGUUCCAUUAGCACCUUUGCCAUGGGAGAGUUUUUGGUCAGCUUUCCAGUAUUAUGUAUUUGGCACCAGCGAUGUUGUGGCGGAGAACAAUCAGAUUCUUCUGUUAAUUGGUGAACAAAUAGCAAAAAAACUAGAUGGCUUGCCAUUAGCAGCAAAAGUAAUGGGAAAUCUGUUAAGAUCCAGAUUUACGGUACACCAGUGGAGAAGCAUCCUUGAGAGCGAUUGGUGGGACCUGAGUGAAGUUCUUUGUGAAAUCCUUCCAUACAUGGGGAUUAGUUAUCAAGAUCUACAGCCUAGAGAAAGGCAGUGCUUCGCUUUCUGUUCCAUUUUUCCAGGAAAUUACUUGUUUGAUAAAGAUAGAUUGGUCAAUAUGUGGAUUUCUCAUGAUUUCAUUGAACAAAGCGAAUCUGGUGGCACUAGAUUAGAGGAUAUUGGAGGUAAAUUAUUUGAUGAACUUGUGCAAAGAUCAUUUUUCCAGGCUACAUUUGACAAAAAGAGGUACACCAUGCACGAUCUAGUACGGGCUUUGGCAAUUGGUGUUUCUUCAUGUGAAUGCUUUCUCCACAAAGAGACCUCAAGCAGAGCAUCACCGACUGCUCGCCAUUUGGCUCUGCAAGUUAGUAAUCAACUGCACAUUCAUGAACUCAACAAGUAUAAAAAUCUGCGGACAAUCUUACUGUUUGGUCAUUGUGACAGUACUGAAAUUUGUGAUGUUGUUGACAAAAUGUUAGCCAACUCAAGAAGCAUUCGAGUGUUAGACUUAUCUUAUUUGGAGGUGCUGACAAAUAUGCCUGCCCACAUUUCAUCCUCAAAGAAAUUGAGGUUCUUUGAUCUUUCUUUCACAAGAGUCAAUAAUUUGCGCAACUUCCCUUGUAAUCUUCAUGUUUUAUACCUCCGUGGAUAUACCCGCAAUUCUAUUCCUCAAAGUGUUAAUACACUUGCCAAUUUGCGGCACUUGUAUGUUGACGCUUCAGCUCUCUCUUUGAUUCCUGGUAUUGGGCUACUGAGUCAACUUCAAGAAUUGGAGAACUUCAGUGUUGGAAAGAGAAACGGAUUCAUGAUAAAUGAAUUGAAAAACAUGCAAGAGCUAUCUGGGAAAAUUUGCAUAAGCAAUAUCCACGUCAUUAAGAACACACUUGAGGCAGCCGAUGCCAAUAUGAUUGGGAAGAAACACCUUGAAGCCUUGGUGUUGAAGGGGAGAAAUGUAUCCAAAGAUGUACUUGAAGGAUUACAGCCACACUCAAAUCUUCAAGAGCUCAUGAUCGAAGGUUACGGGGCAACAACUUUACCACACUGGAUUUUGCAAGGUCACAUCUUCACAAAACUGCAGUCCCUUCAUGUUGGAAGCUGCCGACUUCUAGCUGUACUUCCACCAUUUGGAAAAUUCGCUUCACUCAAGCAUCUCACUCUCGAUAACUUGCCAUCAGUGAAGCAUGUUGAUGGAACACAUUUUGGUUGCCUCCCAAGUUUGGAGGACUUAAAAGUUUCUUCGAUGACAUCUUGGAUAGAUUGGUCACAUGCAGAAGAAGAUCAUGGCCCUCUCCUUCCACAUCUCACAAGAUUUGAACUUCACAAUUGUCCUUUACUGGAAAAAGUGCCCAACCUAUCAUCCGUGUCUUCGUUGUCAGAACUUAACAUUUCAGCUUGCGGGAACUUUGUCAAGGCACUGCCACAAUAUGUAGGACUCUUGGCAUGUCUCAAAAAAUUAAGGAUAUCUUACUGUGAUCACCCACUGCUAUUCUCUGGACAUCAGUUGAAUUCACUGGAUUAUCUGUAUCUUCGAAAAUGUGGAUCUCUACGUUUGAUUGAUGGGCUACAAUGUUUUCCCAACCUCAGGGAUAUUGAUGUUCUUGGUUGUCCUGGCAUUCUUACUGAAUUCCCAGACCAAUCUGUUAGACAAGAUGAGCAGGAUUUACUUCAUCUUAGCAGUAUAGUUACAGAUGUUAGCUUGCUGCAUAAGAACUCUUUUGUCCCCUCAGUGUGUGCUCUGUGCAUCGUUUAUCUGGAGGCCCUUCAUUUUACCCCAGAGCAGGAAGAGUGGUUUGGACAACUAAUAUCUGUCGAAAAAAUCGAGUUUGCUUACUGCUAUUUUCUGCAACGACUCCCUUCUACACUAAACAGACUUACCUCCUUAAAAGUACUUAUUAUUAGGGAGACAAAACCCCUGUCGCUGGAAGGAGUUGUGCCACAGAACCUCCAAGAAUUGAUUAUGGAUGGCUUCAUCAUGGAAGACAAUUUCAAACCUGGAGGAUCAGAUUGGCUAAACAUCUCUCAUGUUCCAUACAUUCGGCUUAAUGGGAAGACAGUCCAAAACCUGUCAAUUAAUGCUGCUUCAUCGUCUUCAAACCACCAAAUUUGA
rnacentral:rRNA from 1 species